GUCUGAUGGAGCAACGCCGCGUGAGUGAUGAAGGGUUUCGGCUCGUAAAACUCUGUUGUUGGAGAAGAACAGGUGUCAGAGUAACUGUUGACAUCUUGACGGUAUCCAACCAGAAAGCCACGGCUAACUACGUGCCAGCAGCCGCGGUAAUACGUAGGUGGCAAGCGUUGUCCGGAUUUAUUGGGCGUAAAGCGAGCGCAGGCGGUUUUUUAGGUCUGAUGUGAAAGCCUUCGGCUUAACCGGAGAAGUGCAUCGGAAACCGGGAGACUUGAGUGCAGAAGAGGACAGUGAACUCCAUGUGUAGCGGUGAAAUGCGUAGAUAUAUGGAAGAACACCAGUGGCGAAGGCGGCUGUCUGGUCUGUAACUGACGCUGAGGCUCGAAAGCAUGGGUAGCGAACAGGAUUAGAUACCCUGGUAGUCCAUGCCGUAAACGAUGAGUGCUAAGUGUUGGAGGGUUUCCGCCCUUCAGUGCUGCAGCUAACGCAUUAAGCACUCCGCCUGGGGAGUACGACCGCAAGGUUGAAACUCAAAGGAAUUGACGGGGGCCCGCACAAGCGGUGGAGCAUGUGGUUUAAUUC
rnacentral:rRNA from 2 species